ensembl:lncRNA
AUUGGCUUCUUGAGCUACCUCCCCCUUUGCCCGCAGCCCGCUCUUUCUUUCUUUAAGGCUUUAUUUUCCCGCCUUUUCCUGCCUUGCGUCGCUUUCCCCUCUCCUUCACCCGCCCCGUAAGUCAGGAAGCAGAUGUUUUAACUUGUGCGCCGUACUGUACAGUCGUUACAAACUGGACAGAAUUUUAAAUGUUAUAAUUCGGAGAGACAGGCCUUUUUUUCCUGUCUGGUCCACGUUAUGUCCUCCUGGCUUUCAUUAGAUCGCUGACCUGCAAGAGAAGAACUUACGGCCUCCCUGUGUUUCUGCAACUUUUUGGUCUCAGAACUUCACACUCUUUAACAUUAUGGGAAGACUUCAAAGAGGUGGAUUCUUUACAAGCUGAGCCACAAAGGGAAGCCCAAGAAUACUGGAGUGGGUAGCCUAUCCCUUCUCUGGCGGAUCUUCCCGACGCAGGAAAUGGAACCGGCGUCU